rnacentral:rRNA from 1 species
GACGAACGCUGGCGGCGUGCUUAACACAUGCAAGUCGAACGGAAAGGCCCUGCUUUUGUGGGGUGCUCGAGUGGCGAACGGGUGAGUAACACGUGAGUAACCUGCCCUUGACUUUGGGAUAACUUCAGGAAACUGGGGCUAAUACCGGAUAGGAGCUCCUGCUGCAUGGUGGGGGUUGGAAAGUUUCGGCGGUUGGGGAUGGACUCGCGGCUUAUCAGCUUGUUGGUGGGGUAGUGGCUUACCAAGGCUUUGACGGGUAGCCGGCCUGAGAGGGUGACCGGCCACAUUGGGACUGAGAUACGGCCCAGACUCCGACGGGAGGCAGCAGUGGGGAAUAUUGCACAAGGGGCGGAAGCCUGAUGCAGCAACGCCGCGUGCGGGAUGACGGCCUUCGGGUUGUAAACCGCGUUCGCCUGUGACGAAGCGUGAGUGACGGUAAUGGGUAAAGAAGCACCGGCUAACUACGUGC